CGCUAUCUACCCAGAGACUGGCUUUCAUUCGGCCCUUAUCCACGAGACUGAGCUGAACGUCAAGAUGUAUGAAACCAAAGGAAACAAGCAAUCGGCCCCUCCUCCGCGACCACGCCCACAAGGUCCACGGCAACCACCACCUCCACGUUUGAAAAUUGCUGCACCAAGCGGAGGCAGGGGAGGCAUUCCGAAGACCUCGUCUUAGCAAUGUGAAUGUCAAAACUGAAGGCUCCAUGCAGACACAUACGACUCGUUAUGUAGGCCUAAAAUUAAGUGUUGAUAUAUUAACGUUGUCAUCGGACAAUUUGAAAGUCCAGACAAUAUUCAGCGUGUCAGAGUUUACUCUGCCUAAAGCAUUAAAUGAAUCAAAAUUGAAUUUGUUUG